ACUAUAUGGCUCUAUAAGGAUGGAGAAAAGACUAUGUUCGAAACAAAGCCUUCUAGUAGAAAGAUAAGUCUAUGAAUAUAGCUUUAUUGAGUUUUCUUAUAAUACAGUAAAUGUUUAUGUUCUAAAAUAUAAUGAGUGGAGAUAUUUAUGUAUACAAUUAAUAUGCAGGUCGUGUGGUGGCAUCAAUAGAGAGAGAGAUUACAACAGAACGCAUGAAGAACAAUGACAGAGAUAUAACCUUCUUUACAUACGUUUCAAUGAACGAAGACCAGACUCUUGUUUAUAGAAUACAAAUGUAGAAAAGACACACGGCUGACGACCAGACUCCAGAUUACAAAACUCGGUGAGCUAUUGUCCAAGCUGAUGUCAAAGCUAAUUUUACAGACUCAUCUCCUAUCUGGAUAAUUAAAGGUCUAUAUUGACCCACUCCUACUCCAGUUAUUUUAAAGGUGUCAAUGACCUUCCAUUCACCAACAGGUAGGUAGCGGUUGACACGGUACAUUUGAGAUCCCUUGCACGAUGCCUGGAUCUUAGCACCCUGUAAAAAACAGAUUUGGUCUACCAAGACGCACUCGAGAGUAUCUCCUCCAUAACUGGUGUUUUGCUUCCAGGAAUUAAGCAGUUUCAGAGUCAGACGCCAUUCAUCUCGGUAAGGUUUGAGAUCCUUGAUCAGACACAUUUUUGUAAUCUCUUUUGACAUUUUUGCUGUGAGAAGUCGAUGGGCAGUCUUUACUUGUAGUCUCAGUAUAUAUAGAUGGAAGAAGAUAUCUAGGUUAAGCUGUAUGUAUGGGGAGGAUAGAUGUUAAGCCGAUAUUUUCUCCUUUCUGUUUU